rnacentral:lncRNA from 1 species
GCAUAAAUCGAGCUAUGGUAAGAAGAAAAUUUGUAUUCGAUACAAGAAAUCAAAAUUUUCAUAUGAAUGAUAGUUAAAAACAAAAGCUUUGAACUUGCUGUAAUCUGAUAUCCACUUUUCACAUGGGUAGUAUAUGCUAAAUCAAUAUCCAAUUAGGGGAUAUAGUUAUUUUAUAAUUUAACUAUCGAUGGAGUUUUUCAGUUAAUGACAACUAAGGUGAUAACAAAUCUGAAAAUAUGACUUCUAUAAGGAAAAUGAAAAUUGAAUGCUAAUCUAAAAUGCUAAAAAAUAUUCAUAGACGUCACCAGCAAAAAAGCAAUGCACGAAUAUAAGUGAAGGAAAGAGAUGAUGGGGAGGCUCUUGUGCCUAUUACACUUCUGCACGCUAUUCUUCAAAAAAUUAUUCCAAUAAAAUUAUGACUAUAGAACAUGAUGUUGUUAAAAAAUGAGUAGUUUCAAUACUGAUAUAGGUCUUGUUGGGUAUUUUGACCCAAAGACCACAAACAAAAGUAAAUCGAACCAAACACCAAAUGUAAAAUCGUAAACAACAUAGGAUAUUGUUGACCCAAUUUCACAAAGCCUAAACUAAGGGCUCAUAGAUAAGCCCGUCACUAUGCAAGAAACUUUCAAGAGAGUGUACAAUGGGAAAUUAAACCAAAUUAGAAUCAAAUUUGGUCAUUGAUUUAAGAAGAUCUCGUAAAUAACCAAUCCUAGUCAAGCUUGACUAGAACAAUCUUUUUUAUCAACCCAGUGCAUAUUUACCAGCCGAUAACUAGGCCUAAAACAUUGCACAUCAAGUCCUAAUAUUAGCUUUUUUUGUCUUUUUGACUUGUACUAUGGAAAAUUGUUUCUUUU